rnacentral:rRNA from 1 species
UACGGAGGGGGCUAGCGUUGUUCGGAAUUACUGGGCGUAAAGCGCGCGUAGGCGGACCUGCAAGUCGGGGGUGAAGCCCGAGGCUCAACCUCGGAACUGCCUUCGAUACUGCGGGUCUCGAGUCCGGGAGAGGUGAGUGGAAUUCCUAGUGUAGAGGUGAAAUUCGUAGAUAUUCGGAAGAACACCAGUGGCGAAGGCGACAUACUGGCUCAUUACUGACGCUGAGGCUCGAAAGCGUGGGGAGCAAACAGG